rnacentral:tRNA from 1 species
GUAGGCUUGGUGUAACGGUAGCACGAUGGUCUCCAAAACCAUUAGUCAAGGUUCAAAUCCUUGAGCCUAUGCCA